rnacentral:pre_miRNA from 16 species
CAUCAAACAGGGGGUAACCUAUUAUCCCGUGCGGUUGGUAUAAUUUGACCGCACGGGAUAAUAGAUUGUCCCGUGCGAUC